rnacentral:lncRNA from 1 species
UUAGAUUCAAGUUUUUUCAUUUUUAUUAUUUUUUGUUCUUUUUAAUGUCAUGCAAUAUUUCACAGUCCCAAGCCCACGUUUUUCAAACAAGAUAGGAAAAAAAGGAAAAAAAUUUUAAAAAGAUAAAGGAAAAAAAAAAAAAAGAAGCAAGGGAAUCGGUCGGUGGUGGUGGUAAUUUUUUCUCUUUUUUCUUUUGUUAUUUCAAGCAGGACCAAAUGUCAGGGGAAAAAAAAACCGUUUUCUCAAUCAUUUUUUUUUUGUCCUUUUAAAAACUGUUAGUGUUAUUUUCUUGUAGUUGAACUCUGCAGGCAGUAAUAAGUUUGGCGUGGCCCGCAAGAACUCCCGUGGGUCUGAGAAGUGUGUGGGGCGUGCAGCCGUCCCUCCGGCUCGCAGCCACCUCGGUUUCGUUCACCGGGAAAACGAAAGAUUCAAUCGAGAUGAUAAAACUCAUCAAUAGAAGCUAUUUUUGUUUUUCUCCCCGGUUUUCUUUUUUAAAAACGUUAUUGUUUAUCAUUUGCGGUGCGCCCGCACCGUACGGGCGCUGCGGGGGGCGGGGCGGCUUAGCACCAGUCGUCCUCGCUCUCGCUGUACGCGUCGUGCGCGCCCCUGCGGGCUGUGCGCGGCCGUGGCGCGCCGUGCCCCGCGUAGUAACCAUUGGGCAGCCUGCGGCCGUGGCGCGGUGACGCGCAGCCCGCGGCGCGCGGAGUCCUGGGCGACC